UGUACAUAACCAUGGGAAUUAAGUUUCACUUUCAAUUCUUGUAAGUAGGCAGUAUUUUCCUCAUAUGACGUGGCUGGCUUAUGUACAGUCUGUGCUGGCUGGAGCAUAAAUACCUGUGCACUACAAGUUUGAGCAGGCGAUCUCCUUAUUGUCACUGCUGCAGUGGACAACAUCAAGAAGCUCCUACAACACCUUGAAGAAAAUAACACCAUUUGCAGCUAAAUCACUAUGGUAAUCUGAGGCAGUUCACCGUUGGAGAAAGAUCAAUUCAAUAUUCAUGAAUUUUCAGGGAGUUAUUUCGAUUUUCUGAUUUUGCUUAAACUAAUGUAAAAAAACAAAAACUCUUCAAGUGAAAACUAUAUAGUUGAUGAUGUAUUGAGUUACACUAAUGUUUAUAUGACUCUUCUCCUCUUCUUUUGAGUGUCUCUCACUCACCUCUGGCCGAAAGGGAGCGAACAGGCUGUAUGUUGCCUUAUAACAUACAAACCAAAACUGAUGGGUGAUGCCAUCGAUCUAAUCCGUGGGUCAGUGACGCGGCCCAUGGUCAAUGACAAUCAACGCUAGUCGUGGGUCAGUGACGCGGCCCAUGUCAACAACAAAUUAUGAAGAGACAGAUGGGUUUUCCCCUGCAGCAAAGGACAAUGUGGAUGGAGAUUUUACAGAUCUCAUCAAAAACUUCUACCAUCUGAACAUGUCUGGAGAUGAGAAGAUGGACUGGGCUGAUCAGGAAGUGGGAGUGACCUGCUGCCAGGAAGAGGAGCACAAUGAGGAAAUGGAAUGGAUCACCUCAAGAAAUCCCAGCUUCUGCAUCUGGAGAGAAAGAAAAGAUGAGGAAGACAGCCUUUAAAUGAAGACAGCCUUUUAAAAAUCUUCAUUAACUACCCAUCUGUUGGGUGGCUUGGUCAUCAAAACAUUGGCCUAGUUCACACUCCUGUUGUACAACGCAUCUCACACAUCAGCUGUGAUACAAUUUAAGGAUCCUUUCAAUGGGUUUGUCUGCAUGCAAACAAAUUGGCAAUAGUUGUGUAAAGAUCCGUUGUAUCACCACAGCGUGAACUAGGCCACUGUAGCCUAAAUAUGGCAUUGGUACACUCGAAGGGGUUUUGUAAAUACUGUACAGUAGGAUAUAUGGUUAUACAAUCUAGAUUGAUAUGUAAAUAUGUUGAGUAUCUAUUUUCUCACUCAUCUGUCAUUGUUCUGUGUUCUGAGGGCAAAAAGGGGAGGGGGGAUGACUAAAAUAUUUGGAAUGUGUCCCUAAUGUUUUGUACACAGUGUAUAUAUAUUACCCCACAACAUUCACUCUUCCCAUUAGUCCUUGGAUUUAUUUUUGUGUAGCUAAUUCUCCUCAAAAAAGUACAUCUGCUGUCUAUUUGUUUGUCAAUAUUCAUGUGUUUAGUGUCUUGUCUCCUUGUCAAAUGAGUGUCUGUCAAUUUAGUUGUAUAUCUGUAUCACAUGAAGUUAUCCUUCUAACAGGGAAAGGGUGGUGCCUAGUGGGGGCGGAGGGGUCAAAGAAAUCAACACAAACUAUGAAGUACUGUUAUUCAAUGAUGUGCAUAAAACGACUCAGACUGUAAAUUACA